ACAGGAGUUGAGAGAGAUGCAAAGACAAUUCUCGCAGCAGAUGGAAACUUUGAAGCGAAAAACUGAAGAAGAUCGUGAGAGAAUGGAGAAGAAACACGUGGCGGAGUUGGCGAAACUGGCCGAGGAAAGAGAGAAGGUUCGGGAAAUGUUAGAGGCGAAAGUUGAGAAGCUGAAACAAGACAUGACCAAUCAGCUGAUGAAGAAACAGGCAGAACAUGACAGGUUGCAAAAACAGUUCGAUGAUCAAAGCGAGAAGUACAAACAGGCGCUUGAAGACAAACUGGAGAGAAAUCAGAAACAGCAAGAGGAGCUGGAGGCGAAGUUGGUAACUGAACAAAGCAACUCCAAGUUGGCGGAUCAAAUUGAGCAGCUGAAGUUGCAGCAGCAAAAGAUGGAAGAGCAGUUCAGACGAGAGAGGGCGGAGCAAGAGGCGGAGCUGAAUGCAAAGCAGGAGCAGAUUAAGAAGCAGGUGCGGGAAGUGGAGGAGAAGUUUGAGAGACAGAAGGCGGAGGAGAGAAAGAAGUUGGGGGCGAGAGUGGCCGAGGCGGAGGAGAAGUUGAGACAACAGCAGAGUGUGGCAGCUGCCAAAGCACUGGCAGAGCAGAGACAGAAAGAGGAACUGGCCAACCAAGCUCAGUGGAAGAAGACUGCGGACACAAGGUUGAGAGGAUCAGAAGGGGAGAUCACAACUGCCUUUAUGAAUGCAUACCCUGAGAGCAGUUGGUUCAUCUAUGCCAAUGCUAAAGACAGUGACAGUAGUUUCAAGUGUAAUGAUGGAGUGGGUGAGACAGCAGAGUGGAAGAACAAGACAGAGUACCCCUACAACAUGCACAUCUACACUGUCCCACACUCAGACUACAACAGUCACAUAGCAGCAACUGAUGAGGAGAGGGAGAAGGCAGAGAGUGUGAUGAAGAGUGUGUUGUCUGAUAUGGAGAGUAGAAGGGGUAUGACACCACAGAAGAUGAGGGAUGAGGUCAUCACCCGUCUGGGCAGAAGUGGACUCAAGUGGAUGUAUGUUAGAGUGGGGACAGGAGGUGGAUGUGGGUAUGAUUAUUCUAUUCCGAGUCGCUAUGUUCAUACACAUGGCUCCACCUACGGUAUUGACAUCUACCUAGGAGACUAAACAUGUAGCAACAGUGGACUACUUCAACCUCACUCCAUUGGAUACUCUAAUACACACUCAUCCGCUCUACCAUCCUUCUUCAAUCCUUCCACCCAUCUCUCUCUCUCUCUCUCUCCACUCAUGUGCUAUGCUAUAUUCUCAACACAUCAUCCUUAUCUCUCAUUUCCAUAUCGCCAUCACAUGAACUCUUACACAAUAUAUAACAAGACUGCUCGUAUCAGGGCGAAGCCCUGAAUGUUCCGACUGCCUUUUAAGUACUGAAAGUUUUUUCCUGUCACUGAUAUGACCACUCCAACAUUGAUGAUUGGCGAGGAUGAUGUCUGCAAUGUCAGUGUGCAAAUUUCCCGAACAGUACUCUGGAGAAGAG